rnacentral:tRNA from 1 species
UUAAUUGAAACCAAAAAGCGGUCUAUCACUGUUAAUGAUAAAAAUGGAUAAUUCCCAAUUAAA